AUAAACUAAAGCCGAACGCCUACAAAACUGUCAUACGUUCUUCGAAGGUAUGAAGCCCUAUUACGAAAGUGGCUUUAUUUUUCCUGACCCCACGAAAGCUGAGGAACAAACCGGGAUUAGAUACCCCAUUAUGCUCAGUCGUAAACUUUGAUAGACCAUUACACCCACUAUCCGCCCGGGUACUACGAGCACUAGCUUGAAACCCAAAGGACUUGGCGGUGCUUAACAUCCACCUAGAGGAGCCUGUUCAAUAACCGAUAAUCCCCGUUAAACCUCACCCUCCCUUGUCUUUCCCGCCUAUAUACCGCCGUCGUCAGCUUACCCUUUGAGGGACCCAUAGUAAGCACAAUUGGCACAGCCCAGUCAGUCAGGUCGAGGUGUAGCUAAUGAGAGGGGAUGAGAUGGGCUACAUUUCCUAAACAAGGAAAUACGAAAAAUCGUUCUGAAACGAACAUUAGAAGGGGGAUUUAGUAGUAAGUAGAAAGCAGAGAGUUCUACUGAAGCCGGCCAACUUAAGCGCGCACACACCGCCCGUCACUCUCCCCGAGCUACCUAAUUAUCCCACACCUGCAAUUAUAGGGGAGGCAAGUCGUAACAUGGUAAGUGUACCGGAAGGUGCACUUGGAUAAAUCAGAGUGUAGCUAAG
rnacentral:rRNA from 1 species